rnacentral:rRNA from 1 species
GAUGAACGCUGGCGGCGUGCCUAAUACAUGCAAGUCGAGCGAACAGACGAGGAGCUUGCUCCUCUGACGUUAGCGGCGGACGGGUGAGUAACACGUGGAUAACCUACCUAUAAGACUGGUAUAACUUCGGGAAACCGGAGCUAAUACCGGAUAAUAUAUUGAACCGCAUGGUUCAAUAGUGGAAGACGGGUUUGCUGUCACUUAUAGAUGGAUCCGCGCCGCAUUAGCUAGUUGGUAAGGUAACGGCUUACCAAGGCAACGAUGCGUAGCCGACCUGAGAGGGUGAUCGGCCACACGGGAACUGAGACACGCUCCAGACUCCUACGUGAGGCAGCAGUAGGCAAUCUUACGCAACGGGGGAAAGCCUGACGGAGCAACGCCGCGUGAGUGAUGAAGGUCUUCGGAUCGUAAAACUCUGUUAUUAGGGAAGAACAAAUGUGUAAGUAACUAUGCACGUCUUGACGGUACCUAAUCAGAAAGUAACGGCUAACUACGUG